GAUGAACGCUGGCGGCGUGCCUAACACAUGCAAGUCGAGCGGCAGCGAGGGGUGCUUGCACCCUGUCGGCGAGCGGCGGACGGCUGAGUAACGCGUGGGAACGUGCCCCAAAGUGAGGAAUAACUGCCCGAAAGGGUAGCUAAUACCGCGUAUUAUCUUCGGAUCAAAGGAUUUAUCCGCUUUGGGAGCGGCUCGCGUCGGAUUAGGUAGUUGGUGAGGUAAUGGCUCACCAAGCCGACGAUCCGUAGCUGGUCUGAGAGGAUGACCAGCCAGACUGGAACUGAGACACGGUCCAGACUCCUACGGGAGGCAGCAGUGAGGAAUCUUCCACAAUGGGCGAAAGCCUGAUGGAGCAACGCCGCGUGCAGGACGAAGGCCUUCGGGUUGUAAACUGCUUUUAUAAGUGAGGAAUAUGACGGUAACUUAUGAAUAAGGAUCGGCUAACUACGUG
rnacentral:rRNA from 1 species